CGCCGGACUAAUAAGAGAGCUUAACGAAAGCUUCCUCUCUCCUUUCCCAUUGACCUCGUUUAAGUCCCAUUCUAGGUUUUUCCAGACCUUUCCCUCCGGUCUUCCUCCGCUUUGACUCGAUCUGAGCCUCCUAGUCGGUGAAGAAGCGAGGGAGGGGAGGAAGAGAAGGAAGCAGUGGCUUACGCUUUGAUUGCUCUCCAUUCCUUACCUCCCCUCUCUCCUUGUCCUUGUUAUUGUCUUCUUCUACUCGUACAUUUUUAAGGACGCGCAGAGAUACUCAAAUCACUUUACAGUUUGCCCUGUUUUUCGUCAAUGGGCAUCUCGUUCAGCAAGAGGCGUGCCAGCGGCGGCGGUACCAGUGGAUCUGUCUCCGGCGGUAGCGACCAGUAUCUGGCGGAGCUGAGCUCGUACGAGGCAGCUUGCAGGGUGGAUCCGGAGAUUGAGAACUUUGAUGCCGGUCUCCAGCAGCGUACUAGCCGGGUUAUCUCCAAUCUCGCCGUUAACGUCCAGCUCCGCUCUCUUUCAUUUGAUACCCUUACAGAAGUUGCUGGAUCCCUCUUCGACAUGAACCAAGACGUCGUCCGCAUCAUCCUCGACUGCCAAAAGGAUAUCUGGAAGAACUCGGAGAUCUUCCCGCUCGUUGAGGACUACUUCGAGAACAGUCUCCGUACUCUUGAUUUCUUCACUACUCUUGAGAAUUGUCUCAAGAAAGCUCGCCACUCUCAGCUUAUUGUUCAGCUCGCCCUUAAAAGCUUCGACGAAGAACACGCUGCCGCUGCCGCGGCCGCAGCCGAUGAGGAGGUCCAAUCUCUAGAAGAGAACAGAAAGACGAGAUACACGAAAACCCUAGAGGAGUUGAGGCAUUUUAAGGCUACUGGGGAUCCGUUCACUGAUGAGUUUUACCAGGCAUUUCAAUCAGUCUACCAACAGCAAUUGUCAAUGCUCGAGAAGUUGCAUCGUAGAAAGAACGAGCUUGACAAGAAGCUCAAAUCUGUCAAAGCAUGGAGAAAGGUUACGUGCGUAAUCUUUGCCUCGGCUUUUGCGGCACUUCUGAUCUGCUCGGUGGUGGCUGCUGUGGUGGCUGCGCCGCCUAUAGCAGCGGCGUUGGCUGCUGCCUCUUCGAUUCCGUUGGGAUCUAUGGGGAAGUGGUUUGAUUCCAUGUGGAAGGGCUACCAGGACGCACUUAAGGCUGAGAAGGGGCUAAUUAAUGCAAUGCAUGCAGGGACCUUUGUUGUGAUUACUGAUUUGGAUAGCAUUAGAGUUUUGGUGAACCGAUUGGAAGAUCAUAUACGAUUGCUGUUUGAGAAUGCUGAAUUCGCAUUCAAAGAUGAAGAGGCUGUGAGGCUUGGUAUCGAGGAGAUAAGGAAGAAGAUGGGAGUGUUUAUGAAAACCAUUGAGGAUUUGGUGCAGCAGGCUGAUCGGUGUAGCAGGGACAUAAGGAGGGCAAAGACUGUGGUUUUGCAAAGAAUUAUCAAACUGCCCAAAUGAUGCGAUGGAAGCAAAUUGGUAACGAUUUUUACUAGUGAUGCAGUGAUGCUCAUGUGCAUGUUUUCUUUUAUAUUCUACACCAGAGAUACUGCUACAACUUGCCCACCGGUUUUGGAAAUCAAAAGUACCAGUGAGACAAGGGCAUAUGUUGUAAUAUAUAAUAUAAAAGGCUGUUUGGCCCAAAUUUUGGUUGGAGUAGGACCAUCUCAAUCCCCUCUAACAUGGGAGCUCUUGAAUGCUUCUCACUUUCUUACAUCCAACAUCAAGAAUUUCCACUUCCAACAAUUUCUUUCAACUUAUUAACAGUAAAGCAGAGAUGGUGACCAACCACAAGCACAGCAAUUUCCUUCAGCCAGUCAAGGCCUGUGAGCAUAACAAAGCAGCAGGCAUGAAAAUGUUAGUCUUCUCCAUCCAUGAUGAUUAACAUCUGAACUUCACUACUUACCACUACCAAACUGAUCUUCUGUGGUUAACAUUUACUGCAUUUCUGCCACUUUGUAUCCUCUUCAAUAUCUUAGUUAUUUAGUUUAUCACAAUAACUCUUUUUUAUCAAGAGAUCUCUAAUUAAACAGUAAUUAAGCAGACAUUUGAUUAUA